rnacentral:rRNA from 1 species
UGGGGUGACUGCGUACCUUUUGUAUAAUGGGUCAGCGACUUAUAUUCUGUAGCAAGGUUAACCGAAUAGGGGAGCCGUAGGGAAACCGAGUCUUAACCGGGCGUUAAGUUGCAGGGUAUAGACCCGAAACCCGGUGAUCUAGCCAUGGGCAGGUUGAAGGUUGGGUAACACUAACUGGAGGACCGAACCGACUAAUGUUGAAAAAUUAGCGGAUGACCUGUGGCUGGGGGUGAAAGGCCAAUCAAACCGGGAGAUAGCUGGUUCUCCCCGAAAGCUAUUUAGGUAGCGCCUCGUGAAUUCAUCUCCGGGGGUAGAGCACUGUUUCGGCUAGGGGGCCAUCCCGGCUUACCAACCCGAUGCAAACUGCGAAUACCGGAGAAUGUUAUCACGGGAGACACACGGCGGGUGCUAACGUCCGUCGUGAAGAGGGAAACAACCCAGACCGCCAGCUAAGGUCCCAAAGUCAUGGUUAAGUGGGAAACGAUGUGGGAAGGCCCAGACAGCCAGGAUGUUGGCUUAGAAGCAGCCAUCAUUUAAAGAAAGCGUAAUAGCUCACUGGUCGAGUCGGCCUGCGCGGAAGAUGUAACGGGGCUAAACCAUGCACCGAAGCUGCGGCAGCGACACUGUGUGUUGUUGGGUAGGGGAGCGUUCUGUAAGCCUGUGAAGGUGUGUCGUGAGGCAUGCUGGAGGUAUCAGAAGUGCGAAUGCUGACAUAAGUAACGAUAAAGCGGGUGAAAAGCCCGCUCGCCGGAAGACCAAGGGUUCCUGUCCAACGUUAAUCGGGGCAGGGUGAGUCGACCCCUAAGGCGAGGCCGAAAGGCGUAGUCGAUGGGAAACGGGUUAAUAUUCCCGUACUUGGUGUUACUGCGAAGGGGGGACGGAGAAGGCUAUGUUGGCCGGGCGACGGUUGUCCCGGUUUAAGCGUGUAGGUGUGUGUUCCAGGUAAAUCCGGUUCACUUUAACACUGAGGCGUGACGACGAGGCACUACGGUGCUGAAGCAACAAAUGCCCUGCUUCCAGGAAAAGCCUCUAAGCAUCAGGUAACACGAAAUCGUACCCCAAACCGACACAGGUGGUCAGGUAGAGAAUACCAAGGCGCUUGAGAGAACUCGGGUGAAGGAACUAGGCAAAAUGGUGCCGUAACUUCGGGAGAAGGCACGCUGACACGUAGGUGAAGUGAUUUACUCAUGGAGCUGAAGUCAGUCGAAGAUACCAGCUGGCUGCAACUGUUUAUUAAAAACACAGCACUGUGCAAACACGAAAGUGGACGUAUACGGUGUGACGCCUGCCCGGUGCCGGAAGGUUAAUUGAUGGGGUCAGCGCAAGCGAAGCUCCUGAUCGAAGCCCCGGUAAACGGCGGCCGUAACUAUAACGGUCCUAAGGUAGCGAAAUUCCUUGUCGGGUAAGUUCCGACCUGCACGAAUGGCGUAAUGAUGGCCAGGCUGUCUCCACCCGAGACUCAGUGAAAUUGAACUCGCUGUGAAGAUGCAGUGUACCCGCGGCAAGACGGAAAGACCCCGUGAACCUUUACUAUAGCUUGACACUGAACAUUGAGCCUUGAUGUGUAGGAUAGGUGGGAGGCUUUGAAGUGUGGACGCCAGUCUGCAUGGAGCCGACCUUGAAAUACCACCCUUUAAUGUUUGAUGUUCUAACGUGGACCCGUGAUCCGGGUUGCGGACAGUGUCUGGUGGGUAGUUUGACUGGGGCGGUCUCCUCCUAAAGAGUAACGGAGGAGCACGAAGGUUGGCUAAUCCUGGUCGGACAUCAGGAGGUUAGUGCAAUGGCAUAAGCCAGCUUGACUGCGAGCGUGACGGCGCGAGCAGGUGCGAAAGCAGGUCAUAGUGAUCCGGUGGUUCUGAAUGGAAGGGCCAUCGCUCAACGGAUAAAAGGUACUCCGGGGAUAACAGGCUGAUACCGCCCAAGAGUUCAUAUCGACGGCGGUGUUUGGCACCUCGAUGUCGGCUCAUCACAUCCUGGGGCUGAAGUAGGUCCCAAGGGUAUGGCUGUUCGCCAUUUAAAGUGGUACGCGAGCUGGGUUUAGAACGUCGUGAGACAGUUCGGUCCCUAUCUGCCGUGGGCGCUGGAGAACUGAGGGGGGCUGCUCCUAGUACGAGAGGACCGGAGUGGACGCAUCACUGGUGUUCGGGUUGUCAUGCCAAUGGCACUGCCCGGUAGCUAAAUGCGGAAGAGAUAAGUGCUGAAAGCAUCUAAGCACGAAACUUGCCCCGA